UACGGAGGGUGCGAGCGUUGUCCGGAAUCAUUGGGCGUAAAGGGCGCGUAGGUGGCGGGACAAGCGUGCGGUGAAAGCCUGGGGCUCAACCCCGGGUCGGCCGUGCGAACUGUUUUGCUUGAGCACUGUAGAGGCAGGCGGAAUUCCGGGUGUAGCGGUGGAAUGCGUAGAUAUCUGGAGGAACACCGGUGGCGAAGGCGGCAUCCUGGACCGGUAUUGACGCUGAGGCGCGAAAGCCAGGGGAGCAAACGGG
rnacentral:rRNA from 1 species